AAUUACAGCCAUACCACGCUGAACAUGCCCGCUAUCGUCUGAUCUCGGAAUCUAAGCAGUGUCGGGCCUGGUUAGUACUUGGAUGGGAGACCGCCUGGGAAUACCUGGUGCUGUAAGGG
ensembl:rRNA 5S_rRNA 5S ribosomal RNA